UACGUAGGGUGCAAGCGUUGUCCGGAAUUAUUGGGCGUAAAGAGCUCGUAGGCGGCCUGUCACGUCGACUGUGAAAACCCGAGGCUCAACCUCGGGCCUGCAGUCGAUACGGGCAGGCUAGAGUUCGGUAGGGGAGACUGGAAUUCCUGGUGUAGCGGUGAAAUGCGCAGAUAUCAGGAGGAACACCGGUGGCGAAGGCGGGUCUCUGGGCAGUAACUGACGCUGAGGAGCGAAAGCGUGGGGAGCGAACAGG
rnacentral:rRNA from 1 species